AUUGAACGCUGGCGGCAGGCCUAACACAUGCAAGUCGAACGUGAAGCCACCUUCGGGUGGUGGAAAGUGGCAGACGGGUGAGUAACGCGUGGGAACGUGCCUUUCGGUUCGGGAUAACCCAGGGAAACUUGGGCUAAUACCGGAUACGCCCUUCGGGGGAAAGAUUUAUUGCCGAAAGAUCGGCCCGCGUCGGAUUAGCUAGUUGGUGGGGUAAAAGCCUACCAAGGAGACGAUCCGUAGCUGGUCUGAGAGGGUGACCAGCCAGACUGGGACUGAGACACGGCCCAGACUCCUAGGGGAGGGAGCAGUGGAGAAUAUUGGACCAUGGGCGCAAGCCUGAUCCAGCCAUGCCGCGUGGGUGAAGAAGGCCCUAGGGUUGUAAACCCCUUUCAGCGGGGAAGAUAAUGGCGGUACCCGCAGAAGAAGCCCCGGCUAGCUCCGUGCCAGCAGCCGCCGUAACAC
rnacentral:rRNA from 1 species